UGUGCUAUACGUUCACCCUUGAAAAUGGAGAAGUUCCACAGCCGUGACUGGCCACCCUGUCUCAGGAACUCAUGCUGUUUCCUCCAGGGCUGCAUCCCUGCUGAGGAAGGAGCAGACUUGUGUUUACAGGCUUUGUACAAACACGUGACAGAAGUCAUGUGGUCUGCUCAUGUGACUAUCCAGCCCCUCUCUGGGACCCUUGCCUGGCAGGAGGUGGGGGCGUUGUGGAUUUGACUGAAGACUUGUAUUAGGUUAAUUGGGUUCCCGAAGCUGCAUGAGAAUCCUGCAGGCUGUGACAGACAGAACAAGAGCACCACCAUACAAGGCUUCUCCAUCUUGGACUUCCCAGACUCCAGAGCUAGAAACUGAGGUGAAUAGAAAUAUCACAUUCAAGGUCACACGUCUCAGAAGAGGCGGAUUUCCUUCCACGUCUGACUCAGAAGUGGGAUCCUGUGCCCUUUGGCCCCCAUGCAACAGCAGCUGAUCGGUCGGAAGUGACCCUUCACUACCCAGCUCAGAGUCCUACCCAUUCCCAGGAUGAGUUCUGCAGCAAGGUGCUGGUGCCAAGGGCAGACAUUACACUCCUUGCAGACAGGUUUCUCUCAGAGGUGGUCCUGGGGUACAGGUGCCAUGGUCUGCUCUUGAACUUGAAGGCUUCAUGACCCAGCCUCCCAUGAUGGGAUUGCAGAAGCUACCAGAAGAUGACAGAGCCAGUGCUAACCUCUGAAUAAUGCGUAGGGAAGAGAUUGUUUCCCAACCCUAUCUUGAGAUAAUUUGUGAAUAAGAGAAAAUAAGGGCUGGGCUGCCAUGCUUGUGGAUUGGCAGGAUUAAUAUAGUUAAAAUGGCCAUCUUGCCAAAAGCAAUCUACAGAUUCAAUGCAAUCCCCAUCAAAAUCCCAACUCAGUUCUUCACAGAGUUAGAAAAAGCAAUUCUCAAAUUCAUCUGGAAUAACAAGAAACCCAGGAUAGCUAAAACUAUUCUCAACAACAAAAGAAAUUCUGGGGGAAUCAGUAUCCCUGACUUCAAGUAAUACUACAGAGCAAUAGUCUUAAAAACUGCAUGGUAUUGGCACAGUGACAGACAAGUGGACCAAUGGCAUAGAAUUGAAGAUCCAGAAAUGAAUCCACACACCUAUGGUCAUUUGAUCUUCAACAAAGGAGCCAAAAACAUCCAGUGGAAAAAAGAUAGCCUUUUCAACAAAUGGUGCUGAAUCAAUUGGAGGUCAGCAUGCAGAAGAAUGUGCAUUGAUCCAUUCUUAUCUCCAUGUACUAAACUUCACUCCAAGUGGAUCAAGGACCUCCAUGUAAAACCAGACACACUGAAACUAAUAGAAAAGAAACUGGGGAAGACCCUUGAGGACAUGGGCACAGGGGAAAAGUUCCUGAACAGAUCACCAAUAGCUUAUGCUUUAAGAUCAAGAAUUGACAAAUGGGACCUCAUAAAAUUACAAAGUUUCUGUAAGGCAAAGGACACUGUUAAAAGGAAAUGGCUCAAUGGUUGAGCACUGACUGCUCUGCCAGAGGUCCUGAGUUCAAUUCCCAGCAACCACAUGGUGUCUCACAAACAUCUGUAAUGGGAUCUGAUGCAUUCUUCUAGUGUGUGUCUGAAGACAGCUACA